rnacentral:tRNA from 1 species
GGGUAUAUAGCUCAAGUGGUAGAGUGAAUGCUUGUGAUGCACAAGGUCCUGGGUUCAAUCCCCAGUACCUCCU